CGCGUAGGCGGUUUGUUAAGUCAGAUGUGAAAGCCCAGGGCUUAACCCUGGACGUGCAUUUGAAACUGGCAGACUUGAGUAUUGGAGGGGGUGGUGGAAUUCCCGGUGUAGAGGUGAAAUUCGUAGAUAUCGGGAGGAAUACCGGUGGCGAAGGCGACCACCUGGCCAAAUACUGACGCUGAGGUGCGAAAGCGUGGGGAGCAAACA
rnacentral:rRNA from 1 species